rnacentral:rRNA from 1 species
AUACGAAGGGGGCUAGCGUUGUUCGGAAUUACUGGGCGUAAAGCGCGCGUAGGCGGACUGAUCAGUUGGGGGUGAAAUCCCAGGGCUUAACCCUGGAACUGCCUCCAAUACUGUCAGUCUUGAGUUCGGGAGAGGUGAGUGGAAUUCCUAGUGUAGAGGUGAAAUUCGUAGAUAUUAGGAAGAACACCAGUGGCGAAGGCGGCUCACUGGCCCGAUACUAACGCUGAGGCGCGAAAGCGUGAGAAGCAAACAGGAUUAGAAACCCUAGUAGUCC